AGUUAUUUCCGUUUUGUGGUUGAGAAGCCGAGUUAAUGACUUACCCAAGGCCGUAACAGUCAGGAAAUACAGAGCUAAGGUUCUAACCCAGGGCUUUUUUGCUAUCUACAGUUUAAAAGAUCAGUCCCAUUUUUCUCAUGGGAGAUAGUGGAGAAAGGGAGUGUACAAAGUGUAAUAAACCAAAAAAUAAAAAAUAAAAAGGUGAGUAAAAGUUUGAUUAGGGCAUACCUAAGUCCUGAUCAGCCUAGAAAGUAUGUAAGAAUGAUGAGUGAAUCAUUUAACUAUAUGUUAUUGAGUAAAAUGUGAAACACACCAAGAAAGUUAUUUCAGGAAGGCAUUUGUCAUGCUAAAAGUUGUUUCAGAAAUGCAUGGCAUGUUCCAACCAGCCUCGAACCAGAGGGAUUUAGUGACUGCCCUGCCCUGCACUGUGCUGCCUCUGCUGCCUGCAGGAGCCUGGCUUUUUGUCUGUGCAGAAAUGCUGAUGCCCACAUGUUGGCAGAAGACUUGCUCUAGCCUGGGGUGCCAAGAGGAGGGCCGUGAGUGUUCUGUUUAAGCAGAUAACCUUUCUGUGCUCACACCGGCCCCAGGCCCACCCUGCUCAAAUCAGGGAGCUGGAUAUUGUCAGGAAUUGGGCAGUAAGACAAUAUUCUUUAAACAUAAAAGCCUUGUUGGGGGCAGGAAUUGUGAGCCAAACUGCUAAAUUAGUAUGUUGUUUUUUCCUUACCAUCCUCCCCAUCCCCUGCUAUUUAAAGAAUAUUCUUAGGAAACAUCUGCUUAUUUCUGCUGCUGACAACUAGCCUUACCCCACAUUGAGGGUGGCGCUAAAUCUCUUCACACAGAAAGUGAGCCUGGGUCAGUGAAAAACAGAAUUUGGGCAGUUAAGGAAUAAAAACAACCUGAGGACCAAAAGCAAUUCACAGAUCUCUGCUAUAAAAAGUUGCCUCUUUGAGGCAGAAGGAAAGAAGAGUGGAGACCCUAGUUCCCUGAACAGAAGAUGCCUUGGAGCAGGAGGAAGUUGUCAGUGUGGAAUGUGUGCCUCAUAAACUGGGCUUAAUAACUGUGUUCUGAUUCAGCUUCUGAGUUUUUGUGUCAUAAUCCAUGGUGUGAUGUUAGCUGUGAUGUUGGAUAUUGCUUCUGCUGUUCUCUUAAUGGCACAUUUGGGAAAGUGUGUUGUCGGUGUUAUCGUGGCUUGAGUCUUCUCAUGCUUUGGCUGAGUUUCCUUUUCUAGCAUGAGUUCCUUUUGGUAACUCCAGGCCACCUGGAAAAGAGUUGGAACUUUCUGGACGUCAGGAUAAAAACUGUUUAAUAAUUUUCACUUUAAACAGAAUCAUGAUUUUGAGGGUCAAACAAAAUAAUGCAAAUUUAGCUUUAGCCCUACCACCAAAGUAAAUCAGAAUUCUAGCCAAAUAUUGGAGGAAAAAUAGUCAACAGUUCUGUGUGUCAUUGAUCUCAACUAUAGCCUUUGCUGCUGAUAGAGAACAUAUAUAUAUCUUCAUGCAUAUGUGAACGUUAUGUGUGUAUAAAAGUUCUUCACACUUCCAGAGUGCUUACUGGGUAUUUGUAAAGGAUUGAGUAGGCACCGUGAUGAAACUUCACAAACCAGAUGGGCAAGAUGCAUUAAUAGCCACAGGGGGACAGGAUAAGGGAGCAAUUCAGGAGAAUUUUAAAUAAAAUUUGUCAGGAGUUCUGGCAUCAGAGUCUGUUUUCAUCCUAUCUAUAUAUAAUAGACAAACAUCGCAUUUUAUAGUAACAGUUUUAGAACUUGGAUGCUUGCAGGCGAGUGACGAACUCCCUGAAGAGCAUACUACCCAAUGUAUCGGUUUCAAGUUUCUUCAGUUAAAAAUGGGUGGGAGAGGGCAGAUGAGAAAGGUGACAAGCAGCUGGCCAAUUGAGGGUACAGGUGGUUACACUAGGGGCAGGGUGUGUGCUGCAUUCCUGACCCCAACUUGCCAGGUAAAGAAAGCCCUGACACUGUCAUUUCCAGAGGCUGAACCAAGAUGGCGCACAGCAGCAAAGCAGCGCUCGCGUCACGUGCCAGCGCCCGGGGCGGGGCCUCAGGAGAACCAGGCCCCGCCCAUCGGGGCGGGGCUAGGGUGUCCGCGGCGAAAGGGGGCGGGGCUUCGAGGCAGGGCGCUGGGGCGGCGGAGGUUGCAGCUACCUCUGCUCGAGUUCGACUCUCCGAGACGUGUCGCGCUGCUCGAGUCGGGGGCGGCUCCGAGCAGAGCUGCCUGCUUCUGGACCUUUCGCAGUUGCAAGCAGACCACACCACCUGCCCUCCGGAAACCAUGGGUGUCGCUAGGCCCAGCCCGGACUCUGCCAGGCUCCGGUGCUCAGUCUGAGAUAAGCCCUGGCCCAGCCCUGCUCCCUUCGUCUGUCAUGGCCGCGCUCCGAUGCUGUCCGCCGGUUUGGGCACACAGGGCACCCAGCCCCAGCCCCGAGAGGUUAAGCCAGGCUUUCUGGCUCCGUUCCACCGGGGAACUGCAGGCCCCAGGCUCCUUUCAGAGCAAGAACAAUUGAUGGCAUGGGAGAAGCCCCUGCCCACCUGCCCACUCUCCUGGCACUGCCCACUCUGAGACCCAUGCACAGGGUCCUCCUGCAGCUGCCAACCCCGUGAGUCCCUCCCCGUCCCCUGACGCUGAGAAGGCCCUGCCCACCCCCACCAUGUGUGAGGUGAUGCCCACUAUCAACGAGGGGGACCCGUUGGGCCCCCCGCAUGGCGCCGAUGCUGACGCCAACUUUGAGCAGCUGAUGGUGAACAUGCUGGAUGAGCGGGAGAAGUUGCUGGAGUCCCUUCGUGAGAGUCAGGAAACCUUGGCAGUCACGCAGAGCCGGCUGCAGGACGCCCUGCACGAGCGGGACCAGCUCCAGCGCCACCUUAACUCCGCCCUCCCCCAGGAAUUUGCCACCCUAACCCGGGAGCUGAGCAUGUGUCGGGAACAGCUUCUAGAGCGGGAGGAAGAGAUAUCAGAGCUGAAAGCGGAGCGGAACAACACAAGGCUGCUUCUGGAACAUCUGGAGUGCCUGGUGUCCCGCCACGAGCGCUCCCUGCGGAUGACCGUGGUGAAACGCCAGGCCCAGUCCCCUUCGGGGGUCUCCAGUGAGGUGGAGGUGCUGAAGGCCCUCAAGUCGCUGUUUGAGCACCACAAGGCCCUGGACGAGAAGGUACGGGAGCGGCUCCGGGCAGCACUGGAGCGAGUUACCACCUUGGAGGAGCAGCUGGCAGGUGCGCACCAGCAGGUGUCUGCCCUGCAGCAGGGGGCAGGGGUUCGGGAUGGAGCAGCAGAAGAGGAGGGGACUAUGGAGCUGGGACCAAAACGCCUAUGGAAGGAGGACCUGGGCCGGGUAGAGGAGCUACAGGAGCUCCUGGAGAAGCAAAACUUUGAGUUGAGCCAGGCCCGAGAGCGACUGGUCACCCUGACAGCAACUGUGGCAGAACUUGAAGAGGACCUGGGCACAGCCCGCCGGGACCUUAUUAAGUCAGAGGAGCUGAGCAGCAAGCACCAGCGGGACCUCCGUGAGGCUCUGGCCCAGAAGGAGGACAUGGAGGAGCGAAUCACCACACUGGAGAAACGCUACCUGGCUGCUCAGCGUGAGGCCACAUCCAUCCAUGACCUGAACGACAGACUGGAGAAUGAGCUGGCCAACAAGGAGUCCCUGCACCGUCAGUGCGAGGAGAAGGUCCGGCACUUACAGGAGCUGCUGGAGGUGGCAGAGCAGAAGCUGCAGCAGACAAUGCGCAAGGCAGAGACGCUGCCAGAGGUGGAGGCUGAGCUGGCCCAGAGGAUUGCAGCCCUCACCAAGGCUGAAGAGCGACACGGAAACAUUGAGGAGCAUCUGAGGCAGCUGGAAGGGCAGCUGGAGGAGAAGAACCAGGAGCUGGCAAGGGUGCGCCAGCGGGAGAAGAUGAAUGAGGACCACAACAAGCGGCUGUCAGACACCGUGGACCGGCUGCUUAGCGAGUCAAAUGAGCGCCUGCAGCUGCAUCUCAAAGAGCGCAUGGCGGCCCUGGAGGAGAAGAACACCCUGAUCCAGGAGCUGGAGAGCUCCCAGCGCCAGAUCGAGGAGCAGCAUCACCACAAGGGCCACCUGUCUGAAGAGAUUGAGAAGCUACGUCAAGAGGUGGACCAGCUGAAGGGUCGAGGGGGGCCGUUUGUGGAUGGCGUCCACUCCAGGUCACACCUGGGCAGUGCAGCGGACAUGCGGUUCUCCUUGAGCUCCACCGCCCAUGCACCCCCCGGUCUGCACCGCCGCUACUCGGCCCUGAGGGAAGACUCGGCCAAGGACUGGGAGCCAUCUCCACUGCCUGGCAUGCGGGCCCCCAAGGCCACCACUGCCUUCGACAGCGACCCUGAGAUCUCUGACGUGGAUGAGGAUGAGCCAGGUGGUCUUGUGGGCUCUGUCGAUGUUGUUUCCCCCAGCGGCCACUCGGAUGCCCAGACUCUGGCAGUGAUGCUGCAGGAACAGCUGGAUGCCAUCAACGAAGAGAUCAGGAUGAUCCAGGAAGAAAAGGAGUCCACGGAGCUCCGCGCGGAGGAGAUCGAGACGCGCGUGACCAGCGGCAGCAUGGAGGCCCUAAACCUGACGCAGCUGCGCAAGCGCGGUUCCAUCCCCACCUCUCUGACCGCCCUCUCGCUGGCCAGUGCGUCUCCUCCCCUCAGUGGCCGCUCCACGCCGAAGCUCGCUUCCCGCAGUGCUGCCCAGGACCUGGACCGAAUGGGGGUCAUGACCUUGCCCAGUGACUUAAGAAAGCAUAGGAGGAAGCUGCUGUCGCCAGUGUCUCGGGAAGAGAACCGAGAGGAUAAAGCCACCAUAAAAUGUGAGACUUCUCCUCCUUCCUCACCCAGGACGCUGCGGCUACAGAAGCUUGGCCACCCAGCCCUGAGCCAGGAGGAAGGCAAGGGCGCCUUGGAAGAUCAAGGCAGCAACCCCAGCAGCAGCAACAGCAGCCAAGACUCCCUGCACAAGGGCACCAAGCGCAAGGGCAUCAAGUCGUCCAUUGGCCGCCUGUUUGGGAAGAAGGAGAAGGGCAGGCUGAUCCAGCUGAGUCGGGAUGGAGCCACAGGCCAUGUUCUGCUAACAGACUCCGAGCUCAGUCUGCAGGAGCCUUUGGUACCUGCUAAGCUGGGGACCCAAGCAGAGAAGGACCGGCGGCUGAAGAAGAAACACCAGCUGCUGGAAGAUGCCCGCAGAAGAGGGAUGCCCUUUGCCCAGUGGGAUGGCCCCACGGUGGUCUCCUGGCUGGAGCUCUGGGUGGGCAUGCCUGCCUGGUACGUGGCAGCCUGCCGGGCCAACGUCAAGAGUGGUGCCAUCAUGUCCGCCCUGUCGGACACAGAAAUCCAGCGGGAGAUUGGCAUCAGCAAUGCCCUGCACCGGCUCAAGCUGCGGCUGGCCAUCCAGGAGAUGGUGUCACUCACUAGUCCCUCUGCCCCGCCCACCUCCAGGACGUCUUCCGGGAAUGUCUGGGUCACCCACGAAGAGAUGGAGACUCUGGCAACAUCCACCAAAACAGACAGUGAGGAGGGCAGCUGGGCUCAGACCCUGGCCUAUGGAGACAUGAAUCACGAGUGGAUUGGGAAUGAGUGGCUGCCUAGCCUGGGCCUUCCCCAGUACCGAAGCUACUUCAUGGAAUGCCUGGUGGAUGCACGCAUGCUGGACCACCUCACCAAGAAGGACCUGCGCGUCCACCUGAAGAUGGUGGACAGCUUCCAUCGAACCAGUCUUCAGUAUGGCAUCAUGUGUCUGAAGAGGCUGAAUUACGACCGUAAGGAGCUGGAGAAGAGGAGGGAGGAGAGCCAGCAUGAGAUCAAGGAUGUGCUGGUCUGGACCAACGACCAGAUGGUCCACUGGGUCCAGUCCAUUGGGCUUCGGGACUACGCGGGCAACCUGCAUGAGAGCGGCGUCCAUGGUGCCCUGCUGGCCCUGGAUGAGAACUUUGACCACAACACGCUGGCUCUGGUCCUCCAGAUCCCCACGCAGAACACCCAGGCCCGCCAGGUGAUGGAGAGAGAGUUCAGUAACCUGUUGGCUUUGGGCACAGACCGGAAGCUGGAUGAUGGGGAGGACAAGGUGUUCCGGCGCGCACCCUCCUGGAGGAAGCGCUUCCGGCCGCGGGACCACCGCGGCGGCGGCCUGCUCAGCUCCUCGGCCGAGACCCUGCCGGCCGCCUUCCGCGUGUCCACCCUGGGGCCCCUGCAGCCGCCCGCGGCCCCGCCCAAGAAGGUCCUGCCGGAAGCCGGGACGGCGGGGGCGCAGAGACUGGAGACCUCCACAGUUCGGACCUACUCCUGCUGACCCCCGCCCGCCCGCCCGUCCCGGGUCUCACGGGGUGCGUCCCCGGCUCGGGCUCACUCCCACUAUCUCUACGGACACAUGCUCUCCGCCUUCCGGGACUAGCCACGGCCCGCAGGGCUGGUGUCCUCCAGGUUUCACAGGCCCAGCCGGCCCUGACCUCUCCUGCUCGUUCCCCUGCCUCCCACGACUCCUAGUCUCGUCUGUGGCUUUCUGGUUGCCCUGGAUCUCAGAAUAUACUCCUCCGGCCCUUCGGCAUCCCACUACCCCGACUCCCAUCGCGCGUCCUUUGUAAGUCUCCUGGAUGGGGUCUCCCGGUGUAGCGGAGGCGCCCGGGUCGCCCAAGCUUGGGAUUCUCCGGGAGAAAGAGAAGGGCAGCCUGGGGUGGGGGUGACGCCACCCUGUCUCUUCUGGACCCAGCCGGGUCUGGACUUUGCCUUCCUCCAGGAUCAGAAACCUAGGCCAAGGACGGAGAUGGUCCUUCCAGGAGAGGGGCACUGCAGACUCCGUCCUGCCUUAGUUAUGCUGCCUCUCGUCCCUGUCCACUCUGGCCCUCGUACCAGAUGGUCUGAGGUUGAUUUUGACACCUCCAGCAUCACCCGUUCUCUAAACCACCGCCACAGUUUGCAGAUCUUGCCUCUUCUUGCUCUGGGGCUGCAGAGGUACAGGAGACCACAUUCUCUCUCAGGAUGGUGAGGCCCGGAGAAGGACUAACGUAGACAUUUUGGAGCCUGGUUUAAGCUGACUCCUAAAUGAGUUUAGGAAGACUCAGAGGGAAAUGGACCCCAGAGCUUUGGGCCAGGGGUGACUGGGUUUGCAAAAACUCUCAGCCCUUGCUCGGUGAGAAGUGUAGACAGGCGAGCCAGAGGGAGGGCUGGUGGCCUCUGGUAGCCUGAAGCCAAAGGGCAGUGGGAAUGGCCCCAGCCCCAGCCCCCGGGGAACGGCCCAGGGGCUGAACAGAUCUAACUGUGCUGCUGCCUCUGCCACCAGCAUCCCUUCCCCUGCUGUCCUCCUCUGCCUCACUUCCUUAAUCCCAGCCGCAUAAGAACAAACCUUAUGAGUGGAUUGAAUAUUGACCCUAAAAUCAGGUUUGGGAGACAGGCAGCCUAGAAUUUUCUUCCUCUGACCUGCCAGGAAGAAAAUAAAGCUUCCUCUUCAGCGAAUCAUAUCCCUGAUUCAGGAAAUCCAGGGUUGAUGAAAGCAGUCAUUCCUCUUUGUCCCCAAAUCAUCCAGUCCUUGACGGGUUCUUGUGGUGUCCAGGGACUGUCUUCUCUAGAAAUUCUUGAGGUCCCCCAGCUUCCGCCAUUUUAAUUUCUUUCCCUAGCAGCAUGGUGGAACUGGGCUGUCAGGAUACAGGUGGUGAUUGGGAGGACUGUUACUCUCAAGAAAUCCCUCUUUCUCACCCGUUCCUCCAAUUGAACAAGGUGCCUAAAAGUGGUAGGUGGUUGGAACUUUGGGCUUCCUUGAAGAGGAGAGGGAAAAUGUCAGGCAUGCUUGUUGGAGAGGGGCCAGCAGAGUGCCAUCCUACAGGUGGCUGGAGCAGCUGGUUUGUGACCUGAUCCAUUUGGGUUGAGAAAGGGCUGGACUAGCGGGGGGAGGGGGAGGGGUGGGCCAAUAGGCCGGAUCGCCCUGUCCUGAGGAGCGAUAGCGCUGUGCUGUGUCUCAGAGCCUUGUGCUCUGCCUGGUAGAGGAGAGCUCGCCAGUGGGGUAGCUGGGUGGGCUCUCACCUGGGCUGGAGCAGGCAGCCACCUGCCUUGCUCUUGUUCCUUGUUUUCUGCCCUUCCUGUCAAGCUACUGGGGAGGGAGAUGGAAGAAUUAUUAAGUGGAAAAUCAACUGGAUAGAGAGAAAGAGCCAAAUUCCAGAGUAAUGGAUGCUGAAGUCAUGGAGAAAGCCCAGGUUCCUCAGAUUGUUGGAGCUGAGCACUAGAAGGCCAUCGACUCCUUCAGGGGAUUGAGUGUCCAUGGGCUAGGCACAGGGGAAGGCCAGCCCCAGCCUGUCCUCCCUACAGCAACCCUGACCCCCAUUGGCCAUGCCAUGAGGCAGCAGGUUGGGGGAGCCAGGUCCAUCCAGGGCCCCCUGGGAAGGAUUGCAGGGAGCGGAUGGAGGCAGGAAAACCGCGCACCAUGUCGUCUUGGUGUACCCUUUGCCUCAUAGCCGAUACAUUUUUUUCUUUGGAGAGUCACAGUGACCCAAGCCUUCCUCGCUGGCCUCCAUGCCUGGCCGGGCCCUUCUCAGUACUGUAUUGGCUCAGUGGAUCAGGAGCAGGUGUGUGGAUGCGUGUGGGUGUGAGUGUGGGUGUGUAUGUACCAAUAAACAACCUGGUUUUAAGACAACA